UACGAAGGGGGCUAGCGUUGCUCGGAAUUACUGGGCGUAAAGCGCACGUAGGCGGCUUUGUAAGUAAGAGGUGAAAGCCCAGAGCUCAACUCUGGAAUUGCCUUUUAGACUGCAUCGCUUGAAUCAUGGAGAGGUCAGUGGAAUUCCGAGUGUAGAGGUGAAAUUCGUAGAUAUUCGGAAGAACACCAGUGGCGAAGGCGGCUGACUGG
rnacentral:rRNA from 1 species